GUCUACAGCCAUGCCACCCUGAAUAAGCCCGAUGUCUGAUCUCGGAAGCUAAGCAAGGUCGGGUCUAGUUAGUACUUGGAUGGGAGACCAGGUGCUGUAGGCA
rnacentral:rRNA from 1 species